UGGUGGAAAAGGUCUUCACUAUGAGUAUCAC
rnacentral:piRNA from 2 species